AGGGGUCGGCGUUAAAUGCUCGAGGGUUAUGAUACACAUAGAAGCAAGGAAAAUGGACUGCAAUUGCCCAGGCUGUGCAAAUUCUGUGACAUUAAAGCAACGACGUGCUCAAACCAGUAUCAGUGCAAGAGCAACUGCAACAUCACUUCUAUCUGUGAGAAGAAUAACGAAGUCUGUGCGGCUGUAUGGAGACGGAACGAUGAAAAUGUGACAUUAGAAACAAUCUGCCACGAUCCCCAGAAAAGACUGUAUGGUCACAUGUUGGAUGACUCCAGCUCAGAGCAGUGUGUGAUGAAGGAGAAGAAGGAUGAUGGGGGACUGAUGUUCAUGUGCUCCUGUACAGGUGAAGAGUGCAACGAUGUUCUUAUUUUUUCUGCAGAUGAUCCCCAUAAGCCAGAGGAGAAAGAUGAAAUUUCCAAAGUCACAAUCAUAAGUCUUGUCCCCUUGUUGGUGAUUUCUGUUGCUGUGAUUGUUAUCUUUUAUGCCUACCGCACUCAUAAGAAGAGGAAGCUCAACAAGGCCUGGGAGAAGAAUGUUAAGCCCAGGAAACAUAAAGACUGCAGUGAUGUUUGUGCCAUUAUGUUGGAUGAUGAUCACUCAGACAUCAGCUCUACCUGUGCCAACAACAUCAACCACAACACAGAAUUGCUGCCCAUUGAGCUGGACAUUGUUGUUGGCAAAGGAAGAUUUGCUGAAGUGUAUAAAGCAAAAUUGAAGCAAAACACAUCUGAGCAGUAUGAAACUGUGGCAGUAAAGAUCUUCCCCUAUGAAGAAUAUGCCUCCUGGAAAACCGAGAAAGACAUUUUUUCGGAUGUAAACCUUAAGCAUGAGAACAUCCUCCAAUUCUUGACUGCAGAGGAGCGUAAGACAGAUCUUGGUAAACAGUAUUGGUUGAUCACUGCCUUCCAUGCUAGGGGAAACUUGCAGGAAUACCUCACACGGCACAUUAUCAGCUGGGAAGACCUCUGGAAACUGGGAGGAUCCUUGGCCCGAGGGAUUGCCCAUCUGCACAGUGAUCACACACCCUGUGGUCGUCCUAAAACCCCUAUUGUGCACAGAGACCUAAAGAGUUCCAACAUCCUGGUGAAAAAUGAUUUAACUUGCUGUCUCUGUGACUUUGGGUUAUCCCUCAGGCUGGACCCUUCUCUCUCUGUGGAUGACUUGGCCAACAGCGGUCAGGUUGGCACAGCAAGGUACAUGGCCCCUGAGGUCCUGGAGUCCAGGAUGAACCUUGAGAACAUGGAGUCCUUUAAACAAACAGAUGUGUACUCCAUGGCUUUGGUCCUUUGGGAAAUGACAUCUCGCUGUAAUGGUGUUGGAGAAGUGAAAGAGUAUGAGCCUCCCUUCGGCUCUAAAGUGCGGGAACAUCCCUGCGUGGAAAGCAUGAAGGACAAUGUCCUAAGAGACAGAGGGCGACCUGAGAUCCCCAGCUCCUGGCUUAACCAUCAGGGCAUCCAGAUGGUGUGUGAGACCCUUAUCGAGUGCUGGGACCACGACCCCGAGGCUCGGCUCACGGCGCAGUGCGUGGCGGAGCGCUUCAGUGAGUUCAAGCACCACGACAAGCUCUCAGGGAGAAGCUGUUCAGAGGAGAAGAUCCCCGAGGACGGCUCCGUGACCACUGCCAAGUAGCACCCACCCAAGAGCUCCGGAAUGGAGGGAGGUUACUCCUAAGCACGUUACCUUGGCAGAGGAAGAAGUCACGAUCGGUGCCUUGACUUGCUUCCUGGAGGACUGAGGCUGUCACUACUCCCAUUGAGCUGUGGCUCUGGGCAGGGAGAUGUAUGCAUGGGAGUUAAAAGCCAGGGAGUGGGUGUCGUACUCCAGCAUUGGCAGCCGGCGUCAUGUCAUAGGAGGAGCUAAGUCUGUUAGCACUUCCUCAGGAAAUGAGAUUUGAGAAUAGCCAAUAACAUUAUGCACUUUAAUAAUGCCUGUAUAUAACUAUGAAAUUGCUAUUUUUAUAUAUAUAUACAUAUAUAUUAAAAAUGUCUGUGUAUGUAUAUAUCUAUCUAUAUAUCUGUAAACAGCCAUGCUCUGAAGAAAAGAGUUUAAAAAAUGCUUGCAGGAAAUUACCUGUGCAUUAGAGAUCCCUCCCCAUUGGGAAAGCACCCGGGGAGACUGGUGUAUCAGGACACUAGCAAUUGUGCACUAAGCACUCUGCCAAAAAGAUAGGAACAAGGAGCAAUAAGAAGAUGGCUUUGAAGCAUGUGCUGCACAAACCCAGCUGUGGCCCAGGAGACAACAGUUGAGGCAGCGGUCUCACAGCAAGGAGACAGAUCUGGCUUUGCAGUUGUAACUAUACGCUCCUGCCUGCAGCGUUUUUCGGAAGAUUCGGGGAUGUCUUUACCCUCUUGCCUUAACCCCAAGGUCCUCACAGCCUCUCAUUGUGGAAGGGAACGUGAGGAGGUUUGGUCCCUCCCACCUGUGUUUCCUUGCAGAGGUCAUUAGUGUUACGUGUUUAUUGCUUUGAGUUCAUGCUGCUUGCAAGCAGGUUGCAAAAUAGCAGUGGGAUGAGAUUUCUCCCCUCCUCCCUUCCUGACCCCCAAACCACACACAACAAGACGCGUCCAGCAGUAAUCCAAGCAGAUGUUUUAUAUUUGCUCUGCAUUCUGAACGCAGACUGUACUUAUUUUUUCCUUUUACCUUGAUUGCGUUGCUGUGAGAACAAAUAACUUUUUCCUAGUACAGCAUAUCUAAUUGCUUGACAUACCACAGCCUGACUGUUCCACGCUUUCUAGAGAAAAGCAAGAGACAACACCCUGUGCCUUUGCUUUCACACAAGGAUCUUAGAGGUGAGGGAAGGCUCCAUGGCAUCAGGUUCAUGGCAUAUCCUGCCCUCUUCUCUGCAGGGUAGUGGGAAUUUAGUUAUCCAGAAUGUUUAGGAGGACAGUUGACAUAUGUAAACUUAUACAAAUGACAUCAGUGCGUUUAAUAAUGCUAACAAUUCUGUCUUCAGGAGUUCUGCAGUGAUGUUUCACUUUUUUCUUCCCUUGCCAUGCGUAUGGGAACUGUUGAACCACUGAUUGAUCACCUGAGGCAAGCACUGAGUCAGCCAUGGAGCACAGGUGAGGGUGAUGUGAUUCAGCUGUGUGACCAGAUGGGGUGGAGCCUGGCUGCACCUCUCUUAGACUCCAUUUAAGGGCUGACUCCACUGGGGAAGGGUCUCUUUCUGGAGGUCACUUCCUUUGGAGUUUUUUCUGUGAGCCUAAGAUACAGGUGAGCAUUUUCAUUUAUUUUUGAUUAUCCCCUUUCCACUGUGAUAAUCCUUCUAGUUAUAUGACUUGUAAAAUACCAGCCUAACCAUGCCAGUCUGCUAAUUGUACUUGUUGAUUGUGCAGCAUGUAGGCGGGCUGUGGAAACCAGGAGUUGAGCACAGAGCAGUCUCAUACAGAUGCCUGGAUGUCCAGCUGCCCCUGCAUGUGUCCCUCUGUGCUGCUGUCUUGCCUGGAGAGCACCAGCAAAGGGAUGCAGAGUGGCCAUUCCUUCACCAUGUAAUACCUUCUCUGGUCACAGGGAAGGGACAUAAGUGGGCUCAUAGCUGACUCUCUCCUAUUGUUAGAGCACAGACAUCCUCAUGCUUUUGCUGCAGCUACCCCACCUGUGACGACCAGGAGCAACAUUUCCUCCACACUCCAAUGUCACCAACACUUCAGCAUUGUCAGUGAGGAGGAGUCUGCAAAAGCAUCGUGCGGGGGAGUAGACUAACAUCUUCCUUGGGGUGCUCUGAAUGGCACAGCAAAGUGGUCCCGUAUUUCAAGACAUUAACAGCAUCUCCCUCCGAGAAUGGGGCAUUCAGUUCAUGUACUUCUGACGAGGAUAUAUGAUGUCUUAUUAAAUAAGGAAAAGAAGAAGGCAAGUUCAUCUCACUGCAGGAGUGUUAACAUUUGUGAAUGUACAUGUCUUGAAUUCACUUAUGGAAUGGUAGCUUUUAAGAAACCAAUCUUAACAAAUCCAAAGGAAAUGGAAGAAAGAAUUUAAAUUAACUUACUUCAUCCAUUUAUAAAUUGUUUAGGUUAAUCACAGAAAACCAAACAGGAUUCGGCUGUACUUAAACACAGCCUUUGCUCUUGUAUAAACUGUUUAUUAUAUCCAUGACACACAACCAGACAAAAUUCAUUCCUGAGCUGGGGAACAGUCUAAUUUGGUUUUAUUAGGUUUAGAGAAAAACAUUUUGGCAGAAGAUCCACUUUAGAAUGUAAAAUAUUUUAAUAUUUUUCUCAAGAAAAUUCUCCCGAAAGAGAUGCAGCAGUUUCUCUCCAACAUCUCUGGGUAAGUAAAUUGGUCCAAAGAACAAAACAGGGCAAGCUCUUCCCUGGGUUUCUCUCUCCAUGACUGCAAAGAGAACCACCAGGGAACCAGGGCUCUUAAAACAGGUGCGGAAAGGACCUCUUUUUUUAAUGUGUCAUGCAAGUAUCUGAGGAAAUAGCCCCCCUACAAUGCCAUCUGAUCAAGCUAAGUACUCCAGGAUGGGAGCAGUGGCCUUCUCUUCCAGUUCUGGUGUUUUUUAGGAAGAAAAACAUAAAAACGUCAUAGAAAAGCCUUCAGGAAGAACUUCACAGUGGCAAGGAAAUGUGGCUGAAAAAGCCAAAAUGUUUGGUACUUGUGUGGUUGUACCAGUCUUCUUUCAAGGCUGGAUUAGGCCAUGGGCACCUGAUUGAGCUGUACAUGUCCCUGUUCAUUGCAGGGGAGUCGAACUAGAUGGCCUUUGAAGGCCUCUUCCAACUCUAAGGAUCUAUGACUCUAUGAUUCUUUCUAGCAACGAUCAGGCAAUUAAAAAUCAUUAUUUUAAGCUAGCACAGGGUAACAAUAGCAUAGAAAAUUUUACAUGUAUUGCAUUGUUUUAAACCUUCUGAGCUGGGUGAAAUUCCUCCUUGGUUUCCAAAAAGGAUUAGCAGAAGCAAUUUUAGAUCCCUUCGUGCUUAUCUUUGCACUUGUCCAGGGUAAAAGUCAGCAUGGAGUCAUCAUGGUUUGGUUUCCUGCUGAGCAGUAUCCCUUGUAAAUGGAGAAGAUACAGUAAACAUCUUGAGUUGUGAAAGGCUUUCGACAUUGCCUCAAAUGCCAUUCUUGUUAGCAAACGAAGGAAGCGAAGGAAGCGUUGUCUAAAUUCAAGUAAGGAGUGGGCACAAAUCUGGCUUGAAAGACAUAAUAAUUACCAUGUGCAUCCCUACGAGCGUCUCAGCACUGCUCCACAGUGACCUGGAUCUAUUGCUACUCAGUAUUUGAAAUAGCAGCCUAGGUGAUGGACUGGAACAUGUGCUUAUAAAAUUUGCAAGCAUUAUUGUGCUGCAAAAGGCUGCAAGCAUGCUGCAGGAUGGAAUUCCAAUUCAAAUUGCUCUUGACAGAUUGAAUAAGUGUUUUGAAAAAGCCUGAUCCUCUGUAGCAAGGACACUUAAACAGGACUAAUUAUGUCUACAGCCAUGUAAUGGGGAAAAGCCAUGCAGAGCAGUUAGCCACAAUGCUCUAGUGGGCAGAAUGGAGUCCAAAUCUAGCAAGACUCAAUAGUGCCUUGCUGUUACAUAGGAAGGCGAACAUCAUACUGUGAUGUAUCAGCAGUAGAGGUGGCUGAGAGACAUACCAAGUAGCCUUGGCCCUCUUUGAAAUCCUGGUAAGGUCUCAGAGGACUAGUCUGGCAGUAGCCUUUGAAUGCAUAGAAGUUGCAAAGAGGAAAAAUGUGUUGUCUCAGGAGUGGUUGUCCCCCAAAAUCAGAAGGGAUAAUAAAGAUAAGCCACUAAGAUAACUUCACAGGAAGUCUUCAGGGUAUCCAGAAUUUGAGAUGAUGAAUUACAGGCUACACUAUCUCUCUGGUAUCACUGAUCCUAUCUCAAGCUGGACAGCACAGCACCUUGAUGAAAUCCAGGCAUCCUUUCCUGCCAGAGGGGCUGCAGUUCUCUCUUUGGUCUCAGUCUCCAAGGGUCUGACUGCAGGGAAGUCAAGAAGCUGGAGAUCUUGUUCUAUGAGAAUUUCAAAAUGUAUGGUGCUAUGAGAAUAGGACAUCCUCUUUCAUAACUAACCAUAGAACAGUCGUGUUUCUCAUGGAAAGGAAAAUAUUUUUAAAAACAUUCAUUUUUAUUGCUUUAGAAUAAAAUCAAGCCUGAAAACAGCAUUCUGAGUCUUAAAUGUGGCCACCAUGCUCCUGCCAACAUUUUCAGUCCUGGUGAAGAGCAAGUAUUAGGACUCAUUGCUCAGCUAAGGGGCUCUUUGGGAUCUGCAGGUCUCAGGGCACCUGAGCUCCCCAUUGCUCAACAAAAGCCUCGAUGCACCAGUGUCACCAUGAGGUAUACACCAUGGCAACAUGUCCCCAUCACCACGUGGGCAUUAUGAAAGGAUCACCAUUAGACUGCAUCGUCACUCUGCAUGUAUUCAAUAGUGUCAAUUGAAAUCCAAUGGUUUUCACAGAAAACUUGGCCUGGAGCAAAGCAACAUUUUCUGACAUCUGUCACAUACGUCAUGUCCAAGAAUGCUCUUUGGAAGAGACGUCCUUUUGUUUCAGAAGUUUGUUACCAGAAGAAACACCAGUAGAUGGAGCACGAUGCCAGGCAGCACUGCUCCUCGCUGCUGUAAAACCCAUCAGCGUCAUAGCCCUUCACUGCCCACAGCUUGUGAAAACAGACCUGCAAAACCGCUGCCAACCUCAUGCCCAGCUCAAGUUUUUCCUGCUGCCAUGCUCCAGAUUUGGGCUAGUUCUGCUUUGAUGUUCAGCACCUCAUUCUUGGCUGACUUUAUUAAUGUGGCACUUAGGCUUAGCUCAUAGAGUGUUCAUGCAAAAUUUGCAUCCAUCCGCACAGUUUUUCACAAGUGUUUGCCACACACUAGCUCUUAUCAAAAAGUUUUUGCAGGUUUUUGCUGCAUCUUUAACAAUUUCCCCAAAGUCACAGUGCAAGUUUUCACACACACACACACACAC